rnacentral:rRNA from 1 species
GACAGAGGUGCCGAGCGUUAGGCGGAAUCACUGGGCUCAAAGCGUGUGUAGGCGGAUCGUUAAGUGCCUUGUGAAAUCCCACGGCUUAACCGUGGAACUGCUUGGCAUACUGGCGGUCUUGAGCAACCUAGGGGCAAGCGGAACAAAUGGUGGAGCGGUGAAAUGCGUAGAUAUCUGGAGGAACACCGGUGGCGAAGGCGGGUCUCUGGGGCAGUAACUGACGCUGAGGAGCGAAAGCGUGGGGAGCGAACAGG